rnacentral:snoRNA from 1 species
AUUAUAGAUGAUGAUGAGAUGGUCCACUUUAUUCUGAAUGGUCUUAACUUUGACUAUAAUCCCUUUGUGUCGUCUAUGCUCGGUCGUGUUGACUUUCUCUCCUUGAGUGACUUGUAUUCUCAGUUACUCACAUAUGAUC